rnacentral:rRNA from 1 species
CCCUUAGAUGUCCUGGGCCGCACGCGUGCUACACUGACGCCUACAGCGAGUACUUCCCAGCCCCGAGAGGUGGCUGGUAAUCAGCAAUAGGCGUCGUGAUGGGGAUAGAUCUUUGGAAUUAUGGAUCUUGAACGAGGAAUGCCUAGUAAGCGCAGGUCAUUAGCCUGCGUUGAUUAAGUCCCUGCCCUUUGUACACACCGCCCGUCGCUCCUACCGAUUUCGAGUGGUCCGGUGAAUCUUUCGGACUGCGCGCGGCUUCGUGCCGUGUCGCGGAAAGUCGGGUAAACCUUAUCACUUAGAGGAAGGAGAAGUCGUAACA